AAGGCCUUAGUUUAAUAAAAACAUCUGAUUUGCAGUCAGAAAAUGCGAGUUAAUCUCUUGUAGGCCUUA
rnacentral:tRNA from 1 species